rnacentral:lncRNA from 1 species
UGUCUGGGGGCAGCGCUGAUCUGCCUAGAAGUUGAGACGCUCUUAACGCAGACGCGCAGCGAGAUUUGCUGAAAUUCAUCUGCUCGCCGCACCAGACUGGACUCAAACACUUCAACUGCGAGGAGAGAGGAAGAGAAGGUGUUCAGAUCUCUCACAGCCUGCUACAGAAGAGCGAUGGAUUCGCGGAGAAUCGCAGCUUUGCUCCUUGCUGCCUGCCUCAGCGCGUCAGCUUCAGACCAGUUCGACACGGAGGUGGUUACCUGAGAGUGCUUCUUCUAAUUUAGCAAGAGAAAUACCCACAUCAGAGACUGUCGUUUCAGAGGGCACUGCAUGGCAUUCCUUUGGUCCCUACAUUUCCCAGAAAUCCUUCCACCCAUUUCCUGCCAGCAUAUCCUCACAUUUACACACAACAGGCUGUAAUUACCCACCCAGCUGAUCCGAUCCAGAACCAACCACCGAGAAACAUGGAACACA